rnacentral:rRNA from 1 species
UACGUAGGUGGCAAGCGUUAUCCGGAAUACUGGGCGUAAAGCGCACGCAGGCGGUCUUUUAAGUUUGACGUGAAAGCUCUCGGCUUAACUGGGAGAGGUCGUUGAAUACUGGGAGACUUGAGGAAAUGAGAGGGGUGUAGAAUUCCUGGUGUAGUGGUGGAAUGCGUAGAUAUCAGGAGGAAUACCAGUGGCGAAAGCGGCACCCUAGCAUUUUUUCUGACGCUCAUGUGCGAAAGCGUGGGGAGCGAACGGG